GUGGGGAAUCUUAGACAAUGGGGGAAACCCUGAUCUAGCCAUGCCGCGUGAGCGAUGAAGGCCUUAGGGUUGUAAAGCUCUUUCAGAUGGGAAGAUAAUGACGGUACCAUCAGAAGAAGCCCCGGCUAACUCCGUGCCAUCAGCCGCGGUAAUACGGAGGGGGCUAGCGUUGUUCGUAAUUACUGGGCGUAAAGCGCACGUAGGCGGACCAGAAAGUCAGAGGUGAAAUCCCAGGGCUCAACCUUGGAACUGCCUUUGAAACUCCUGGUAUUGAGGUCGAGAGAGGUGAGUGGAAUUCCGAGUGUAGAGGUGAAAUUCGUAGAUAUUCGGAGGAACACCAGUGGCGAAGGCGGCUCACUGGCUCGAUACUGACGCUGAGGUGCGAAAGCGUGGGGAGCAAACAGGAUUAGAAACCCGAGUAGUCC
rnacentral:rRNA from 1 species